rnacentral:rRNA from 1 species
GACGAACGCUGGCGGCGUGCUUAACACAUGCAAGUCGAACGGAAAGGCCCUGCUUUUGUGGGGUGCUCGAGUGGCGAACGGGUGAGUAACACGUGAGUAACCUGCCCUUGACUUUGGGAUAACUUCAGGAAACUGGGGCUAAUACCGGAUAGGAGCUCCUGCUGCAUGGUGGGGGUUGGAAAGUUUCGGCGGUUGGGGAUGGACUCGCGGCUUAUCAGCUUGUUGGUGGGGUAGUGGCUUACCAAGGCUUUGACGGGUAGCCGGCCUGGGAGGGUGACCGGCAAAAUGGGGACUGAGAUACGGCCAGACUCCUACGGGAGGCAGCAGUGGGGAAUAUUGCACAAUGGGCGGAAGCCUGAUGCAGCAACGCCGCGUGCGGGAUGACGGCCUUCGGGUUGUAAACCGCUUUCGCCUGUGACGAAGCGUGAGUGACGGUAAUGGGUAAAGAAGCACCGGCUAACUACGUG